ACCCAGGCAUGUGCCCUGAAUGGGAAUCGACCUGUGACCUCCUGGUUCAUAGACUGAUGCUCAACCACUGAGCCACACCGGCCCGGAGGGGCGACCAUCCUCAUUUUAGAGAAGAGGAAAUGGAAGCCAGGCAAGUGGCAGAACUUGCUUAAGGCUACACAGCAGAGGAGAGGAAAACUGAACAAUGAGCAGGUCCUGGCCCUCCAGGAGAGAAGCUUUCUGGACACAGGACUUCCCCAACCUCCAGAUGAUGCUCACCCGCAGGAACAAGGCCAGGUUAUCCUGUUGCGCAGCUUCCUGCGGGGUCCACAGCGCUCCAGAGGGCCGGCCUGACGCCGCCCUUGCCCAACAGGAUCUGUGGGAAACAAACUGCCCUGCCCUGGCCCUGGGCAUGGGGAGCCCUCAGGGAAGGUUGAGAAUCGCCCAAACCUCCUGGGUGCUCUGCCAUCUCCCGACACACUGCCCUGGGCCCCAUCCCCGGGUGUGAGGAGGCACCUGGUGACAGGUGGCUCAGGGCCACAGGACAGGGACAAAGGCCCAGCAGCCUCUGUCACUCCUUGUUUCCCUGCCUCCCCGCAGAGCUCCUGCCUUGGUUCCUACCACGAACCCCAAACCUCUCUUGGACCUUCUUACUCUGACCAACCACCAAGAUUGGAAAACUGCACUCUGGCUGCUCCGUGGGUGCAGCAGGGAGCCCGAGGGCUGCAUCCCUUGGCGCAUAGUUAAUAAAAAGCGAACACGCAGCUGUGAUCAGCUCCCAGGCUGUAAUCGCACACUCGCAUUACUCACAUCAUAAACACCAAAGCUGCUGGAAACGGAUUUUAUUAUUAAUAAGUCACAUGGUACAAAACAAUCAGAAUAUUCAAAGGACAUUUAGUAAAAGGCUUUGUCCAAAGGACAGGCAGAAAAGGUUAAGACACAGUGGAUGCUUAGAAAACAGGAGAAAGACAGGAGUAAAAACAAGUAAUUUGUGUACACACACGCCCGUCACACCCACACGCCCCCUGGGCCCAUCAGAUAAGAAUUCACUUGGCACCAAAACAGUGUGGGACUAGAGGGCCAGAGGGCUGGGAGCCAGAGGCGGGCAGCGGGGAGGUGAGUGACUCCAGGCUGGGGCACCUAUUCAUUAUGACAAAUAAGGAAGCCCCUGCUGCCCGAGGCAAGCCCGCCUCGCACACCUGGAGUGUCGAACGUCAUCAAGGGAGGAGGUGGCUCUGGCAUCUGGAGACAGGCGGUUGGCAUUUCCUCGCCCACGUCCCGCCAGGAAGGGGAGACAACGCGAGCCCUGUGCUGGCUGAGCAGGUGCCUCUUCCCUGCGCAAAGUCCCAGGAAGCUGAGCCAGGCCCCACACAGAGGAGCCCAGGGCCGGGGAGGAGCUCCUGGGCUGGCCGUGCCCAGCGCCACAUUCACCUUGGCCAUUUGUUCCCAAGAAAGAGACCGGCUGCUAGGGUGGGACUUCCCGUAUGGCCGGUCCCCAGGGCCAGGCCCGAUGGUCACCUCUGAGGGGGAGCCGGGCUCUGAGGGUGUGGGGUUCUCUUGAGUUGCCUCAGAGUUUACAGGCUUCAAGGAACCAAAGCAGACGAGUAAAAACCAAAACAAACCUGAAGCCCCGGGGGAUUGGGAGCUUCUCCAGUGGGGGUGGGCGUGGGGGUCGGUGGGCCUGCUGGUCCCGGACAGCCCCUGCAGCAGUGACAACACCAGAGCUAGCAAAGAGGCACUUUCCUGCCCACAAGAGAGGCCUGAGUGAACGGCACAGGGUGGCCCUGCUGAGCUGGGCCCUGCCCAGCUCCCUUGUUCCAUCCAGCCAGGGAGGGCAUGAGUGCGGGCCUUUCCUCCCCUUCCUGCCACCUGCCAUGGUUCAGCUCUGGAGGUCCCGGCCCACCCCGACAGGGACGGCCCGCCUGGCAGCAUGCGUGGAAUGCCGACCGAUGAAAUGCGGGGAUGUGGUCACCAAAGUCCAGGGAAUAGGCCAAAGUCACACACUGGACCUGCAGGUCCCAAGCCCUAUUCCUCGACCUCCUGUCAUGGGAGCCGCCAGUGGGGGCUUCAGAGCAGGGGACACUGUCCAUCUUGAGAGGGGCACACAGGCGAGUCUCUGGGUGAAAGGGGGAGACUGGGGCUGAUCAGAUGGUCCUGAGAUGGCAGCGGGGCCCACAGUGUAGAACGGCAGGCUGGAGAGGACCGUGGGGAUCCCUGAGCCAGCUGGGCACAGCCCAGGCACCACCCCAAGCACAGAAGUCCCUGCUCCAUGCUUCGAGGUAGCCUUCUUCCCAACUCGAGGGCCACUCCUGGCCCUGCCCUCCUGUGCCCUCCUCCUACCGGCACUGGCACCCCGGCCUCAGCUCUGCUCCAGGCGCUCGCUGGGCUGCACCACGGUGUAGCUCCCCUGGCCCAGGGAGAGCUGCCGGCUGAAGAAGGACGUGGUGCGCUUCGGUUUCACCGGCUUGAUCUGCUCGCCUGUCGGGGAGUGAGGACCGGGGAGUGAGGACCGUACUGCGGAGAGGGCUUCCCGGGGAGGGCCCAGCCCCCAGGAAGCCUGGUUUGGGCUUCACAUCUGCCAACUUUCACAUCUGCCAACUUUCUGGCCUCACUCCCCCAGCCCCACUCUUCCACCUGACAGGAUGGGUGGGUGGACGUGUCACCAGCCCCCAAUCAGAGGCAAAUCAGUGUUUGAGUUGGAUGCGGGGCCAGCCGUGGUACCUGAGAAGCUUUUGCUAAAACCUAGUCAAGAACAGACCGAAGAAACCAAGCACCUGCAACCUGCGGGAUGGCUGAAGGUGAGCCUCAACGAGGCAAAAGAACUCUUACAAGUUCACAAUUUCAAGCAGGUGGCCAAGGUCAACACCAACAGCCAUAAGUCAUGUUGCUAUGGAACCUGUGAUAGGAAGCGGUAGAAAUGCGGUAGGCACUCCACCUCUGUGAUCUUCCUCCCCCUAAGCUGUAAGCCCAGCCUAAUUCUGAGAAAAACAUCAAACUCCAGUGAAGGGGAUCCUCCAAUGUCCCUGACCACCCCCCCCCCCACAGCUGCCAAGGUCAUCAAAAGGAGUCAGAAACGGUCACAGCCAAGAGGAGCCUAAUACACUUGACACCUGAACGCAGUGUGGGGUCCAGAUGGUUCAUGAAAUAAAAGACAUGAGGCUACACUAAGGACUUCAGUUAAUAAUACAAUCAGCCCUGGCUGGUUUGGCUCAGUGGAUAGAGCAUCGGCCUGCGGACUGGACUAAAAGAUCUGGGUUCGAUUCCAGUUAAGGGCACAUGCCUGGGUCGCAGGCUUGAUCCCCAGUGUGGCGUGUGCAGGAGGCAGCCAAUCAAUGAUUCUCUCUCAUCACUGAUGUUUCUAUCUCUCUCCCCCUCUCCCUGCCUCUCUGAAAUCAAUAAAAACAAACUACAAUAUCAAUAUUGGUUAAUCAAUUACAAUAUAUAUGCCAUGUUAAUGGAAGAUGUUAAUUUUUAAAAAUCAAGCAAAAAAAAAAGGGAAAACAGGCAACAUAGGUGAACAGUAAUUCAUAAA